rnacentral:rRNA from 1 species
CAGCAGUAGCCGCGGUAAAACGGAGGGGGCUAGCGUUGUUCGGAAUUACUGGGCGUAAAGCGCACGUAGGCGGCUUGGUAAGUUAGAGGUGAAAGCCUGGAGCUCAACUCCAGAAUUGCCUUUAAGACUGCCGAGCUAGCAGGUGAGAGAGGUAAGUGGAAUUCCGAGUGUAGAGGUGAAAUUCGUAGAUAUUCGGAAGAGCACCAGUGGCGAAGGCGGCUUACUGGCUCAUACUGGACGCUGAGGUGCGAAAGCGUGGGGAGCAAACAGGAUUAGAUACCCCCGUAGUCCCUGUCUCUUAUAC